GGGGCUGUAGCUCAGUUGGGAGAGCACUAGGCUGGCAGUCUGGGGGUCAGGGGUUCGAACCCCCUCAGCUCCA
rnacentral:tRNA from 1 species